AGGGAAUCCCCAUUUUUGAGUCAAAAUUGUCAUUCUCUUGACGAAGAAGUAACCGAAGAAGAAAUCGAAGAAGAAGAAAGAAAUCGAAGAAGAAGAAGAGAAAGGGAAUCCCCAUUUUUGGGUCAAAAUUGUCAUUCUCUUGACGAAGAAGAUAUCGAAGAAGAAGAAGAAAGAAAUCGAAGAAGAAGAAGAAAUAGAAGAAGAAGAAGAGUAAGGGGUUGAAUGGGGUACGUUUCCCCUGCUACAAUACGGUACAUCAAUAUGGGAGAUUCGUAUCAUGUAGGGGCAACCCUGUACACGAUUUACUGUGCUUUUCAUCCAACAACGCGUACGAUUCAUAUCAGUGUUUUCUCGGUUUUAAGUUGCUGUCUCCAUUAAUAAAUCUGCGAACUCUUGUUCCUUCUGUCAGAUGGGCAGAAGUCUUAAAUUUCCCUUUUAUGAUAGGUUUGUAACCAAUAAACAUUCGUAAUUUACUGUGCUUAUCAUGGUCUGCGAGGAUUUU